GGGGAUUUAGCUCAGUGGCAUAAGCACCUGCCUUGCAAGCAGGUGGUCGUGGGUUCAAUCCCCA
rnacentral:tRNA from 1 species